rnacentral:lncRNA from 10 species
AGUCAAGUAUGACUGCCACAGAGAAAUGGUCCCAUCCAGGAAAUCAGAUAUUGAGUCCUACCUGAGUUUCCAGCAAGAAGCUCUGGCUUUCUGGAUCUGUGCUUCUCUGGUAGAGGAACCCUGAGGACUGAUCUACUCUUGCAGUUCUAAAACCAUGGCCCAUGCCUCGCUAUUCCCUGGGACACAACAAUAUUGAACGUAGGCUAGUUAAUAGCCCUACAAUCUCCUCUAAGUGUUCGAGUGAAAGGAAGAGUCACAUGUGUCUCACUUUAAACCAAAAGCUAGAAAUGAUUAAACUUAGUGAGGAAAGCAUGUUGAAAGUCCAGACAGGCUGGAAGCGAGGUCUCCUGUGCCAAACAGCAGGCCAAGUUGCACAUGCAAAGGAAAUGUUCUCGAAGCAAAUUAAAAGUAUUACUCCAGUGAACACACAAUGACAAGAAAGCGAAACAGUUUUAUUGCUGAUGUGGAGAAAGUUUUAGUGGUCUGGAUAGAAGAUCAAACCAGCCACAACGUUCUGUUAAGCCUAAACCUAAUCCAGAGCAAGGCCCUAAUGCUCUUCAAUUCUAU